rnacentral:rRNA from 1 species
AUGUUGAUAAAAUCUUUGGCAGGAACUCGGAUCACUCAUCUUGGUGCAGAUAUGCGGAUGAAGCUCAAAGCGGCAUAUACCUUAGUUGAGCAGCUAUACUCUGGGUCUCAGCGAGCCAUUAGUAUAGUGGCUUAUAACAAACCGGCACCAACAUUGAUUAAGGAGACCCUUGAGAAGCUGGGCAUGUUACCGGCGUGCAUUGCCGAGUUGAAAAGAGCCGCUGCGAGAGCAGGAGCAUUAACCGCCCUUGUUCGAGCCAAGGCCUGGAUUCCAGACCUUGAAGAGGAGGAUAUCAUUAAAGGAUAUCCAGGCGUUAAAGAAGACGGUUCAGACUUUGACAAUGAUGAUCUUCGGCGGCUGACCAAACAGAUGCGGCCAGUGGCCAGCAAAUUGGCUGAGGGCAGCGAUUUGUCCCAUUUUCAACCGUUUUAUGAUGCAGAAGGGAGAAGACAGCUGGCCGAGAUCCAUGAAGUCAAAGAACUUGUGCCUCCGAUUCGUAAGCACACUUAUGCCCCUGAUAUUAACCCUUUUGAUCUUAUCCAUGAGGAAGCAGUGUUCCAAGCUUUAACCGGAAUCGAUUGGUCAACGGCUGAUUUCCAGCGGUUGGGGAGGGAUGAAGAAGUACCUACACCAACUGAUCCGCAACCGUCAAACCGUCGUGAUGAAGAGUCCUGA